rnacentral:miRNA from 1 species
UCAACCCAAAGUAGCUGUGUGUGUUGACACAUCUCGGCAAUCCCAGCUCUCUGGGAGGCUGAGGCAGGAGGAU